rnacentral:rRNA from 1 species
GGCCUGCCCACUGAGGAAUUAAAUGGCCGCGGUAUACUGACCGUGCAAAGGUAGCAUAAUCAUUAGUUUUUUAAUUGAAAGCUGGAAUGAAAGGUUAGAUGAGAAAAUAACUGUCUCUAUUUAAAUUUAUUAGAAUUUUAUAUUUAAGUAAGAAAGCUUAAAUUUUAAUAAAAGACGAGAAGACCCUAUAGAGUUUUAAUUUGGUUGGGGUGAUUGAAAAAUUUAAGAAACUUUUUUUUUAUUUUUACAUUUAUUUAUGAGUAAUUGAUCCUUAGGAUAGAUUAUAAGAGUAAAUUACCUUAGGGAUAACAGCGUAAUUUUUUUUGAGAGCUCUUAUCGAAAAAAGAGAUUGCGACCUCGAUGUUGGAUUAAAAUUAAAUUUUGGUGUAGAAGCUAG